rnacentral:rRNA from 1 species
GAUGAACGCUGGCGGCGUGCCUAAUACAUGCAAGUCGAGCGAACAGACGAGGAGCUUGCUCCUCUGACGUUAGCGGCGGACGGGUGAGUAACACGUGGAUAACCUACCUAUAAGACUGGGAUAACUUCGGGAAACCGGAGCUAAUACCGGAUAAUAUAUUGAACCGCAUGGUUCAAUAGUGAAAGACGGUUUUGCUGUCACUUAUAGAUGGAUCCGCGCCGCAUUAGCUAGUUGGUAAGGUAACGGCUUACCAAGGCAACGAUGCGUAGCCGACCUGAGAGGGUGAUCGGCCACACUGGAACUGAGACACGGUCCAGACUCCUACGGGAGGCAGCAGUAGGGAAUCUUCCGCAAUGGGCGAAAGCCUGACGGAGCAACGCGGCGUGAGUGAUGAAGGUCUUCGGAUCGUAAAACUCUGUUAUUAGGGAAGAACAAAUGUGUAAGUAACUAUGCACGUCUUGACGGUACCUAAUCAGAAAGCCACGGCUAACUACGUG